GGGUGCGUAGCUCAGUUGGUAGAGCACUGCCUUUGCAAGGCAGGGGUCGCAGGUUCGAAUCCUGUCGCAUCCA
rnacentral:tRNA from 1 species